rnacentral:rRNA from 1 species
GAUGAACGCUGGCGGCGUGCCUAAUACAUGCAAGUCGAGCGAACAGACGAGGAGCUUGCUCCUCUGACGUUAGCGGCGGACGGGUGAGUAACACGUGGAUAACCUACCUAUAAGACUGGGAUAACUUCGGGAAACCGGAGCUAAUACCGGAUAACAUGUUGAACCGCAUGGUUCAACAGUGAAAGACGGUCUUGCUGUCACUUAUAGAUGGAUCCGCGCCGCAUUAGCUAGUUGGUAAGGUAACGGCUUACCAAGGCAACGGUGCGUAGCCGACCUGAGAGGGUGAUCGGCCACACUGGAACUGAGACACGGUCCAGACUCCUACGGGAGGCAGCAGUAGGGAAUCUUCCGCAAUGGGCGAAAGCCUGACGGAGCAACGCCGCGUGAGUGAUGAAGGUCUUCGGAUCGUAAAACUCUGUUAUUAGGGAAGAACAAAUGUGUAAGUAACUAUGCACGUCUUGACGGUACCUAAUCAGAAAGCCACGGCUAACUACGUG